UGGGGAAUUUUGGACAAUGGGCGAAAGCCUGAUCCAGCAAUGCCGCGUGUGUGAAGAAGGCCUUCGGGUUGUAAAGCACUUUUGUCCGGAAAGAAAUCCUUGGCUCUAAUACAGUCGGGGGAUGACGGUACCGGAAGAAUAAGCACCGGCUAACUACGUGCCAGCAGCCGCGGUAAUACGUAGGGUGCAAGCGUUAAUCGGAAUUACUGGGCGUAAAGCGUGCGCAGGCGGUUUGCUAAGACCGAUGUGAAAUCCCCGGGCUCAACCUGGGAACUGCAUUGGUGACUGGCAGGCUAGAGUAUGGCAGAGGGGGGUAGAAUUCCACGUGUAGCAGUGAAAUGCGUAGAGAUGUGGAGGAAUACCGAUGGCGAAGGCAGCCCCCUGGGCCAAUACUGACGCUCAUGCACGAAAGCGUGGGGGAGCAAAACAGGAUUAGAUACCCUGGUAGUCCACGCCCUAAAACGAUGUCAACUAGUUGUUGGGGAUUCAUUUCCUUAGUAACGUAGCUAACGCGUGAAGUUGACCGCCUGGGGAGUACGGUCGCAAGAUUAAAACUUAAAUGAAUUGACGGGGUCAUAGCUGUUUCCU
rnacentral:rRNA from 1 species